rnacentral:rRNA from 1 species
CACGUAGGGUGCGAGCGUUGUCCGGAAUUAUUGGGCGUAAAGAGCUCGUAGGCGGUGUGUCGCGUCGGCCGUGAAAACCUGCAGCUUAACUGUGGGCUUGCGGUCGAUACGGGCAUCACUGGAGUUCGGCAGGGGAGACUGGAACUCCUGGUGUAGCGGUGAAAUGCGCAGAUAUCAGGAGGAACACCGGUGGCGAAGGCGGGUCUCUGGGCCGAUACUGACGCUGAGGAGCGAAAGCGUGGGGAGCGAACAGG